rnacentral:lncRNA from 1 species
UUGCUUUUUGGCCUUUAGUUUGACAAGACUCUAACCGCAAAGCGUUUUUAAACAGUUUUUUUAUUACGGUCACCAUACUCACCCUUUCCUAAGGUCUUCGACAGCUUGGGACUUCUGCAAGCUGCACUAUCAUCUCGUUCAUCAGCGACAAUGAGCUCAUCUGUGGAAUCGUCUCGGCCCACCAGCAGGGAGUAAUCAAUGAUGAGGUGGCUGGACAGGAAGAGCGCGUCGCUGUGGAUGGCAGCACGCAGGAUGGCCUUGCAGUGCGAGCGAAUAUAAAGGGGAUUGUCAUGCACCAGUUUGAGCAGGUUCUCAUCUAGGAGCACCACCUCACAGCUCUCCUUUCCCUGGUCCGUCUUCACGUUCCUGUUUCUCAGCGAUCCUUUCAGGUUGUCUGUGUCUGCCUGGGCUAGGAGGAACAGAUAGACGUUUUCUGCCUUUCUCUUGCUGGAACAGUUCUUGAAGUCUGAAGAUGAUAAUAAAUCAGUUCUGCUGUUAUG